CACUUUCAUAAAAUCAUUUGGGUAUAAGAAAUCUCUAUGCCAACUAAUCAAGCCUUGCAAAACUUUGCUCCUCGAGUGUGAGUAACUCAUUUUCAGUAUAGAUUUAAAAAAUAACUUUUUUUUAUCAUUAGUAUUCUGGUUUGAGUAAGUAGAUGUCCUGGGCUGGUAAGCUUUUAUGGUAAUUUUACAAGACUUAAUCCUUUGAUUUUUCUUCCCUCUUCCACCUAAUCAGGAAGGACUUAAUUAUUUCUCAAGCAUCUCUGAUAUUUUCAAGACUACAGAAGAUAUUAAGCUCUUUAGUGAUGGCCAUUCUUUAACUCCUUGGCAAUUUAUAACCUUGUAUGUCUACUUACAUAUAAAUAUUUUCCUAAAUUAACACACUUUGUUGUCUCUAGUUUAUACUUCUAUUCUCGUUGAUUAAAGUGAAUGAUUGAGAUAAGAAUUAACUGUUCUCUUAAUAGCAUACCUGUACAUAUAUUGAUAUGAGUCUAGAACAAGACUAAGAUGAGACAUGAACAAUCCUCAUUCUUGUAUUCUUUCCUCAGAGCUUUGAUUUUGCUAAACUCCAUUGUUGCUCUCCGGUGAUAUGAACUCUGUCAAUCCAGUUUCUAACUCUUCUCCAUUUUUUUUUUUCAAUCCUUCUUUGAGGAUGACUACUUGCUUUGAAACAUUCCCUAAAAGAUGUGAGGUAUGCUUGCCCACCUCAUCCCCAAAACAAACAUGUCAUCUCAAGAUUUCUUGCUAGUUCACUGGAAAUGUGGCCUUGAGAUCUUUCCAUCCACACUAGUGGAGUGGCUCAGCCAGAUGAGACGGAGAAGGAAGAGGAUGCAGGAUGACACAUUCCAAAAGAUCCUGCAAGCCUCUGGUGCUUCGGAUACUGAGCACAAGGCUUGGAGAAUCCCCUAGCACAGGGGUUGGCAACCUUUCAGAAGUGGUGUGCCGAGUCUUCAUUUAUUCACUCUAAUUUAAGGUUUUGCGUGCCAGUAAUACAUUUUAACGUUUUUAGAAGAUCUCUUUCUAUAAGUCUAUAAUAUAUAACUAAACUAUUGUUGUAUGUAAAGUAAAUAAGGGAUUUAAAAUGUUUAAGAAGCUUCAUUUAAAAUUAAAUUAAAAUGCAGAGCCCCCCGGAUCGGUGGCCAGGACCCAGGCAGUGUGAGUGCCACUGAAAAUCAGCUCGCGUGCCGCCUUUGGCACACGUGCCAUAGGUUGCCUACCCCUGCCCUAGCAGAAUGAAUGGACAGGGAUAGUACGAAGAAGAGAAAAGCACAGGAAAAGGAGAGAGACAUCCAGCAGGAGAUGCUAGCACUUUUCAAGUAGCAAACAAACAUGCUGGAGGCUCUUUUGACCUUCAGGUUCAACAGACCUGUGCUCUCCUCCCUCUGCAACCCAUAGAGAACUGCAUUCUGGGACCUACCUAUGCACCCCCACAUUCCACAUGGUGUCUGGGGCUGCUUCAACUACCCCUACCGCUUCACUCUGGGGGAGAGUACAGGCAAUCACAGCCGCCCAUACACUGACCUGUGAGAGAGACAGUCGAUGUAUGUGUUGUGAAAUGGAAAUGACUGUUCUUUCCCCUUCGAAGGUUCUUUCCCUGUAUUUAUAAAGUUUCGUUCAGUUAUAAAUAUGUCUGUUUGUAUAAGUUUGGAAUAAGUCUAUUUAUGGAAACGUAAUUCAUCUUUAUUAGUUCACAACAUAUGCUGGCUGGAGUUGACGACAUUCACAGAUAAUACCAAUAGGUGCAUUUGCAAUGUUACAGUACUGCACAUGCAACACUCCUUACAAUGUUCAUACC